UACGGGGGGGGCAAGCGUUGUUCGGAUUCAUUGGGCGUAAAGGGUGUGUAGGUGGCGCCGUAAGUCGGGGGUGAAAUUUCGGAGCUUAACUCCGAAACUGCAUUCGAUACUGCGGUGCUUGAGGACUGGAGAGGAGACUGGAAUUCAUGGUGUAGCAGUGAAAUGCGUAGAGAUCAUGAGGAAGACCAGUGGCGAAGGCGGGUCUCUGGACAGUUCCUGACACUGAGACACGAAGGCCAGGGGAGCAAACAGG
rnacentral:rRNA from 1 species